UACGGAGGAUCCAAGCGUUAUCCGGAUUUAUUGGGUUUAAAGGGUGCGUAGGCGGCACAGUAAGUUAGCGGUGAAAUCGUGGGGCUCAACCCCGCAACUGCCGUUAAAACUGCUGAGCUAGAGAGUAGAUGCGGUAGGCGGAAUGUGUAGUGUAGCGGUGAAAUGCUUAGAGAUUACACAGAACACCGAUUGCGAAGGCAGCUUACCAAUCUAUGUCUGACGUUGAGGCACGAAAGCGUGGGUAGCAAACAGGAUUAGAAACCCGGGUAGUCC
rnacentral:rRNA from 1 species